rnacentral:rRNA from 1 species
GAUGUCUGGAUAACUGUGGCAAUUCUAGAGCUAAUACAUGCAAUCAAGCUCCAACCUUCGUGGGACGAGCGCUCUUAUUAGACCAAGGCCAACCUGCUGGGCAACUGGCAGUUAGCUGUGGUGACUCUGGAUAAACACAGUUGAUCGCACGACUUUACGUCGGCGACGUAUCUUUCAAGCGUAUGCCCUAUCAGCUGUCGACGGUAGGGUAGCGGCCUACCGUGGCAUCAACGGGUAACGGGGGAUCAGGGUCCGAUCCCGGAGAGUAAGCCUGAGAGACGGCUUACACAUCUAAGGAAGGCAGCAGGCGCGCAAAUUACCCAAUGGGGAAACCCUGAGGUAGUGACAAGAAAUAACAAUACGCGACUCUUUCGAGGCCGCGUAAUUGGAAUGAGCACAGUCUAAAUCCUUUAGCGAGGAUCAAUUGGAGGGCAAGUCUGGUGCCAGCAGCCGCGGUAAUUCCAGCUCCAAUAGCGUAUAUUAAAGUUGCUGCAGUUAAAAAGCUCGUAGUUGACAAUCGGCGCUCGUCUCGGUGGUCCUGUUCACGCAGGCACUGCCUUGACGGCCUCUACACACUGGCUUGAGGUCGUGCAGGCUGGGAGACUGGCAGC